GUUAGAUUUUUAAUAUUUUUAUAAAAAGUCUCUUCUGCUCAUCAAGACUGCAUUUAUUUGAUUAAAAAUACAGCAAAAGCUAUAAUAUUGUGAAAUAUUAUUACAAUUUACAAAAACUGUUUUCUAUUUGAAUAUAUUGUAAAAUGUAAUUUAUUUCUGUGAUUCAACGCUGAAUUUUCAGCAUCAUCACUCCAUGCUUCAAUGUAUGAUAUCUUCAUAAAUCAAUGUAUUCCUAUUUCAAAAAUCAGAAUUGUUUAGAAAUUGUAAAGUCAUUUUAUUGAUUUAUUUUGCUUAUAAAAUCAGAAGUCACAGAGAAUAUAAUAUACACACUUAAUGUUUUAUUUCAUGUGAGCUACAUUCACGUGUCACUGACGUCACCUUUCUGUCGUUGUGUGGUCUGAAGCGCCCUCUAUUGGCCGCAGAGUGAAAAUGCCACUACAUGAUUGCAACAGUCUAUAAAGAUGGCUUAUACUGGCUUUAAAUACUGAUUAAAUAACUCCAGUCCACAGCUCCAAUACUGUGUUAGGAUCCAUCGACUUGAAUCCAGAAGUAUAAACUCUGUUUCUAGCAGAUAAUAGCUGUAUACCUCUCUGAAGUGGUUUUAUGAGCUGCCUUUGAGGCUAUGUUCAUGUUCAUUAUAGCUUUAGCUUAACAUAAUUCCAAAUCCUUCAGCCUCUCUGAACAAAAAUUAUUUCAAUCUUUGGUCUGAAUAAUAAUAGUAAAAAUAAAAAAUAUUAAGAAAACUCUUCCUCUUUUUAGGCUUUUUUUUUUUCAACUGUCUACCCAGCAAACAAGGAAUGUUCUCUCAAAGUUAUGAACAAACGUUUGUCCAGUAAUGUUAAAAAAAAAACGUUAAUUCAGUUAUCUGGUUUUUACGAAUGUCCUUAAAACUUGUCUCGAAAGAUUUAGAGAGCAUUUAAAAGUAACGUUUCUAUAAUGUUUGCAACAUUCUAAAAUGGAAUGUUCCCUUAAUGUUCACAUAUAACCAAGAAAAAUGGAUUUAAAAACUGUAUGUAACGGAAGUAACGUUCUUAGAACAUAUUUUUGUUAGCUGGGAAGUCAGGCUCUUUCAGAUCCAUGUGAGCGCUGGCGAUAGUUUACAUAAAUCUGAAAGAUCAAGGCCCUGUUAUAGAGUCAUCAUAUCCAACCUAAAGCAGCUUAUUCCUCGGUUGUGUUCACUUUAAAGGAGAAACACGCAGAUAUCAGGUCACAGCUGACAUCACAAGUUCCUCUUGCUUUGUGACCCCGCCCCUCCAACCACUUACACGUUCACUCACUGAGUUUCAAUCAGAAAUACAUCAGGCUAUCAGGGGUGUGAGAGAGAAAGAGGGCUUUGAGAUGCUUCUGGCGUUUUCCAUGGGAAAUACAGUCACUGCCCCUCGGCCCGGGAUCCUCCGUUAUCCGGUGUGAGUCAGCUGGGUUGUGUGGCAUCAGUCCCUGUGUAAUUAAAAGAUUUUCAUUACAUAGUGCACUUUCACGUCUCGCCCAUCACAGACAGGGUCACAAGCCACAGGCAUCUUCAUUAGACGAAUGUCCCUUUCAAAACGUGCUGAUCGAUGCUUAUAAGCAACCACUGGAGCAGAGCCCAGAUCAGAGAAAAGAAGAGCCGCCGACAAACAUUUAAAAAGACCUAAUCAGCAAUAAUUACAGAAGAUGAGCAUGACGAUACGACACUAGGUGCUUCUUUACCUCUGACUUGUCCUUGGCAUUGCUUUUACAAACCUGACUGGCUCGCAUUAUGUGUUAAAAUAAUGUAAAGCAAUUUAGCCCCCCGUGUUAUAGUGCCAAGAUUGUUCUCGCUUAUCAGAGUGAUUUAUUACUCUAAUUUAUAUGCUCAGCUUGGCUCGGUGUUGAGGACAGCAGAUCUGAUUGGACAUGAGUUUCCUAAUGCAGCAGGGUGCUGUCUUUAUGGUGACUAUAGUGUAGAUGCCAGGCUGUUGAUUGGAAACACUUUUAAUAGCUGCAGAGACAGAGGAGACUGACUGAAUGCACUCUGGUUUGGACAUAGCUACACAACUAUUCAGUUUAUGGAAUAAUAAAGCACUG
ensembl:lncRNA